UGGGGAAUAUUGCGCAAUGGACGAAAGUCUGACGCAGCAACGCCGCGUGAGGGAUGAAGGUCUUCGGAUUGUAAACCUCUGUUGAAUGGGAAAAAAAGGUAGCAAUACUUUGAUGGUACCAUUUGAGGAAGCACCGGCUAACUACGUGCCAGCAGCCGCGGUAAUACGUAGGGUGCAAGCGUUGUUCGGAAUCACUGGGCGUAAAGGGAGCGUAGGCGGGAUCGUAAGUUAGGAGUUUAAUACAUGGGCUUAACCCGUGGCUGGCUUUUAAUACUGCGGUUCUUGAGUAUGGGAGAGGGCGAUGGAAUUCCAGGUGUAGCGGUGGAAUGCGUAGAUAUCUGGAAGAACACCAGUAGCGAAGGCGGUCGCCUGGCCUAAUACUGACGCUGAUGCUCGAAAGCUAGGGGAGCAAACAGG
rnacentral:rRNA from 2 species